UACAGAGGGUGCUAGCGUUAAUCGGAAUUAUUGGGCGUAAAGGGUGCGUAGGUGGUAAUAUAAGUUUAAUGUGAAAGUCCUAAGCUUAACUUGGGGAUUGCAUUUAAUACUGUUUUACUAGAGUAUUAUAGAGGAAAGUAGAAUUUCCGGUGUAGCGGUGAAAUGCGUAGAUAUCUGGAGGAACAUCAGUGGCGAAGGCGACACCCUGGACUCAUACUGACACUGAGGUGCGAAAGCGUGGGGAGCAAACAGG
rnacentral:rRNA from 1 species